UGGCCCGGCUGGGUGUGGUUGGGGUGCCUCUGCCCUCCCCCGCACCCCUUUUGCCCUAGCCCUCCCGGUUGUUUCCCUGCCCCCAGGGUCUCUCUCUCAAACCCGCCGCAGAGCUGCGAUCAUGUUCCCCAAAGAGCCCCCGGGGCCCGCGUGGGUGAAGGGUCCGCUCUCGAGCCUUGGGGGAGUGGCAGCUCAUUCCGUCAGGGCAGCCUUCGUUCCUUUGCGGAAUAUUUGCAAAAAGCCCGCCUCUGGGACCGUGAAGGGGACCACACUGGCGUCUGCCCUCGGGCUGCCAAGGCUUCAGACCCGAUCAACCACCCUAAUCAGGGCAGACAGCUUUAAAAUAAGGCAGCCUUCAUAAAGUGCCUUCUAUUUCCUAGCUGUGUGGACCUGACAAGUCUUAAAGUCGGCUGGGCCUCAGUUUCUUCCUCUGUGAAAUGGGCAUGAUAGCAUUGCUCAAGUGAGAAUUCCAGUCCUGAGACUAGUACGGCCCAACAGGUGAUGUUCUCCAUCAGAGGCGGGAUGCGAUAGCCACUGGGAGCAGUUCAAGUAGCAUGAGAGAGCAGGCAGAGAGUGAGCUGAGCCUCACGGCGGGAUGUGAAAGGCUUUUGGAAGGAGUGGGCAUCUGCUUUGUUUUCAAAGGAAAGCGUCUGGAAGAAGAAUGGUAAUUGUUCUCUCAAUAUGGACCACCAGAUGCUUGUGACAAGAGUCCAGGAGGAACAGCCAGAGGCAGCCCGGCCACCAUCCCCAGCCACUCUUAGUCCUGGCUACCUGGAUACUUUUUCUCUAAAAGUCUUGGUUCGCCUGUCUGAACGUGACAAGAAACAAAGGAGUUGAGCCGGUCUAGGCAGGUGGCGCUGACCUGAUGUGCGUGGUAGACCUCACGGCGUUUGUCUGUGCGAUGUCUCCCCCUCCCCUUCCUAGGCGCAAUCACAGUACCCCCCUGAGGCCAUGGGCACCCUGACUAGCCAAUCCCCAUCAUCUAGCCAAAGAGAUUGGCCUCUGGACACGUGGCUUGAGCUGGGCCAGUCAGGGUGCUUCCUUGAGUCUAUCUAUGGAUGCUAAAGAGAGAUUGUGUCUCGUCUUCAGGGUCCAUAAACCUGGAUGAAGGAGCUGUGACCCCCCACUUCCCCAUCGCCUACAUCAACCUCAGAGAGAAGUCCAGCCAAAAGAUGGAAAAGACCUAGAGGAAGACCAAGACAGAGAUGGAAAAAGAAAUAUAAGUUGCUAUCUCCUGAAUUUUCAGAGUCCUUGAAAAAAGCUUGCUUUCCGUAUGUAGCUUCAUGCCACUCACCCUGCCUCCAAUGACCACACACCUCCUGCAAGGCCAAGCCCAAGUUUCUGGCAGUGACCUCCACAGCCCUGGAACCCCAUCUCAUCAGCCGCCCCUUGCUGUCUGCACUGUGUCCAAAAGACAAAGAUUAUAUGUAUACACGCUGUAUACAUAUAUGACCAUACACAUAUCUGCGCAUGUGCUUUUUCUUUGUCAGUAGGCUUCACCCCCGGCACAAAGCCCGAUGUGGGGCUUGAACUCACAGCCUUGACAUCAAGACCUGAGCUGAGAUCAAGAGUCAGACCCUUAACCAACUGAGCCACCCUGGCACCCCUGUAUGAGUGUAUUUUUAACUUACAUAAAUAGUUUGUGUUUUAGACGCCAAUCUGUUUCUUACUUUCUUCCCCACUCACCAUUGUUUUGAAGCUCUAUGCGCGUUGCUCUGUAUACAUCUAGCUAGUAGCUUCUAACGGCUGACAAUUACUCAGUGAUUCGGAUCUACGCCGAUCUGCCCUCCACUCUCCCAUGGAGGGAAUGAUACCCCGUGUCAUCAGAAACAGCACUGGAGGAACAUCACUAUACUGAUACGGCUGAGAAUGUCUUUGGGAUGUGUACCUAGGAGUAAAACCAGUGGACUUAA